UUAAAAACUUUCAAUAGCAACAAUUUUCAUUUAAAAAUUCAUCGCCAUGCGCUGGGACCGCGACAAUGUGCCCCAAAACGUGGCAAGGCUGUGGGCUGAGGAGACGCAGCGUGUCGUGUUGCUGCUGCUGCUGUUGAUGGCCAUUGAAGCGGCAAACAAAAGUGACAAACAGAUUUAUUAAAACUGUAAAUCUGCAUUGUUCGCUUAGUUUGUCUAACAACAAAUUGCAACAGAAAACCGUUUCGAACGUUAUUGACGUUGCGUCUGUUAGUGACGCAGCGCAGCCAACUUCAAGCCGAUCUCGCCGCUAUUGAGAGCUCUACAGAUAGUUCCGUUAUUUGGCAGUAAAGAGCGUAUUUCAAGAGCGUGUGACGUCACAAUUUCGGCUUGUGCUUUGCUAGGCUCUCUCAAUCGCAGAUGUAGCGUUGCCAACUUUUAAUAUUUUUUUCUGUUCCUAAAUUGUGAGUUCUUGAAUAUAAAUGCGCCACAAUGCAAAUUAAA